GAGGGUAUAGCUCAGCGGUAGUGUGCGUGCUUAGCAUGCAUGAGGUCCUGGGUUCAAUCCUCAGUACGUACA
rnacentral:tRNA from 1 species